CCGCAACCAACAGCCAACAGAGCUCGCCUCCUCACCUCGCCGGAGCGCCAAGAAACCCCUCCCCCCACCUCUCGCCACCGCGCAGAAGCGCCUCUGAUCCCCAGCGCCGGCGACCGAUGAACAGGUUCCACGACAGGCAGCACGUGUGGGUGCGGAGCAGCGUGCACGGCACGUACCUCAACGCCGACAGCGACGGGAGGAGCGUCUCCCUCCGCCGGCGCCGCGCGUCGCUCAAGGCGGCGUGGGCGGUGCACAUCUACCAGCACGGCGAGGGCGACGUGCCGUACCUUCUCCUCUACAGCGCCGCCUACGGCCGCUACCUCGCCGCCACGGCCACGCGGGCGCCGCUCGGCCACGUCGGCUUCCGCGCCGAGCAGCGCGACUACGACGAGCCGGUGCUGCCGGCCAUCAUGUGGCGGGCCACCCACACGGGCUUCGGGGGCGGCGUCUUCCUCCGCAACGUCGGCGGCCGCUACCUCCGCGCCAACGGCAAGUACCUCCGCUGGAACAACGGCGUCACCGUCGACGACAUGGACAAAGUCAGCACCAUGAUGUACUGGACCGUCGA
rnacentral:lncRNA from 1 species